AUUGAACGCUGGCGGCAUGCCUUACACAUGCAAGUCGAACGGCAGCGCGGGGGCAACCCUGGCGGCGAGUGGCGAACGGGUGAGUAGUAUAUCGGAACGUGCCCUGGAGUGGGGGAUAACUAGUCGAAAGACUAGCUAAUACCGCAUACGAUCUACGGAUGAAAGUGGGGGACCGCAAGGCCUCACGCUCCAGGAGCGGCCGAUAUCUGAUUAGCUAGUUGGUGGGGUAAAAGCUCACCAAGGCGACGAUCAGUAGCUGGUCUGAGAGGACGACCAGCCACACUGGGACUGAGACACGGCCCAGACUCCUACGGGAGGCAGCAGUGGGGAAUUUUGGACAAUGGGGGAAACCCUGAUCCAGCAAUGCCGCAUGUGUGAAGAAGGCCUUCGGGUUGUAAAGCACUUUUGUCAGGAACGAAGCGGUGGGGGCUAAUAUCC
rnacentral:rRNA from 1 species